UGAAUACGAGACGCUAAGGCGUCGAAGUAGUGUAUGUCAUACUUCCAAGAAAAGCUUGCACUGUCAUAAGUAAAAAAUGCCUGUACCAUAACCGACACAGGUGGGUAGGUAGAGUAUACUAAGGGGCGCGAGAUAACUCUCUCUAAGGAACUCGGCAAAAUAACUCCGUAACUUCGGGAGAAGGAGUACCUUAUUCUAUAAGGUUGCAAUAACAAGAUCCAAGCAACUGUUUAUCAAAAACACAGGUCUCCGCUAAGUCGUAAGACGAUGUAUGGGGGCUGACGCCUGCCCAGUGCCAGAAGGUUAAAGAAGUCGGUUAGCAUUAGCGAAGCUGGUAACUGAAGCCCUGGUGAACGGCGGCCGUAACAAUAACGGUCCUAAGGUAGCGAAAUUCCUUGUCGGGUAAGUUCCGACCCGCACGAAAGGCGUAAUGAUUUGGAUACUGUCUCGGAGAGGGGCUCGGUGAAAUAGACUUGUCUGUGAAGAUGCGGACUACCUGCACCAGGACAGAAAGACCCUAUGAAGCUUUACUGUAACUUGAAAUUGAAAUUGGACUUUAUUCGCGCAGUAUAGGUGGGAGGUGUUGAUUAUAAUCUUGCGGGAUUAUUGGAGCCAUCAGUGAGAUACCACUCUUGUAAUGUUAGAUUUCUAACUUUGAAUCAUUAUCUGGUCAAAGGACAGUUUCAGGCGGGCAGUUUGACUGGGGCGGUCGCCUCCCAAACGGUAACGGAGGCGUACAAAGGUUUCCUCUGAACGGGUAGAAAUCGUAUCUAGAGUGUAAAGGCAUAAGGAAGCUUGACUGUGAGACCUACAAGUCGAACAGGGACGAAAGUCGGUCUUAGUGAUCUGACGGUACUGAGUGGAAAGGCCGUCACUCAACGGAUAAAAGUUACUCUAAGGAUAACAGGCUGAUCUCCCCCGAGAGUUCACAUCGACGGGGAGGUUUGGCACCUCGAUGUCGGCUCAUCGCAUCCUGGGGCGGUAGUACGUCCCAAGGGUUGGGCUGUUCGCCCAUGAAAGCGGUACGCGAGCUGGGUUCAGAACGUCGUGAGACAGUUCGGUCCAUAUCCGGUGUAGGCGUUAGAAUAUUGAGAGGAGCCUUCUUUAGUACGAGAGGACCGAGAAGGACAUACCUCUGGUGUACCAGUUAUCGUGCCAACGGUAAACGCUGGGUAGCUAUGUAUGGAGUGGAUAACCGCUGAAAGCAUCUAAGUGGGAAGCCCACCUCAAGAUGAGUAUUCCCAUGGGGUAACCCAGUAAGGUCACGGGAAGAACACC
rnacentral:rRNA from 1 species